ACAGGGAUUGCCCUAGUAACGGCGAGUGAAGCGGCAACAGCUCAAAUUUGAAAUCUGGCGUCUUUGGCGUCCGAGUUGUAAUUUGCAGAGGGCGCUUUGGCAUUGGCAGCGGUCCAAGUUCCUUGGAACAGGACGUCACAGAGGGUGAGAAUCCCGUACGUGGUCGCUAGCCUUUACCGUGUAAAGCCCCUUCGACGAGUCGAGUUGUUUGGGAAUGCAGCUCUAAAUGGGAGGUAAAUUUCUUCUAAAGCUAAAUAUUGGCCAGAGACCGAUAGCGCACAAGUAGAGUGAUCGAAAGAUGAAAAGCACUUUGGAAAGAGAGUUAAAAAGCACGUGAAAUUGUUGAAAGGGAAGCGCUUGCAGCCAGACUUGCCUGUAGUUGCUCAUCCGGGUUUCUACCCGGUGCACUCUUCUAUAGGCAGGCCAGCAUCAGUUUGGGCGGUUGGAUAAAGGUCUCUGUCAUGUACCUCUCUUCGGGGAGAACUUAUAGGGGAGACGACAUGCAACCAGCCUGGACUGAGGUCCGCGCAUCUGCUAGGAUGCUGGCGUAAUGGCUGUAAGCGGCCCGUCUUGAAACACGGACCAAGGAGUCUAACAUCUAUGCGAGUGUUUGGGUGUCAAGCCCGAGCGCGUAAUGAAAGUGAACGGAGGUGGGAACCUUUCGGGGUGCACCAUCGACCGAUCCUGAUGUCUUCGGAUGGAUUUGAGUAAGAGCAUAGCUGUUGGGACCCGAAAGAUGGUGAACUAUGCUUGAAUAGGGUGAAGCCAGAGGAAACUCUGGUGGAGGCUCGCAGCGGUUCUGACGUGCAAAUCGAUCGUCAAAUUGG
rnacentral:rRNA from 1 species